UGAAAUUCAAGGGCUAAGAUUAACCUCCCACCUACCAAAUAAUAAAAGGCAGUCGUUUCUCCUAAAACUAAUAUCAGAUGUUCUCUCUCUCCCUCUCUCUAAAAUUCUCUCUCUCACCAUUUUCUCUCUCCUCAAAAAAUUGCCAUUAAAGCUUAGAAAAGGUCGAUGAAGCUUCAAUUCGCUGAUUUCAGAAGGAGAACAAUCCUAAAAUCUGGGUGAAAAACCUACGAACGGAGAAGGAAAAAUAUGAAAAGUGAAGAUGAAAUUGCGAAAAAAAAUUGUCGAAAAACACAAUUCAGAUUCAGAAGAUCGAGAAGAAUCGUAGUUUGAGAAAAUGAAGAUAUUGAAGGUUGAGUAUUGUGGCAAGAUAUUGGCGCGUAGGGAAAAUGAUGGACAUCAUGUUAUGAUUCCAAAGUCAAAGAAAUGGGCAACAAAGAAUCAAAUUUUUAACGGGAUCAUAGUGUCUUUGUAACAUCAAAUGUUGAAUUUCUUGUAAAUACUUUAUGUUGAAUUCGUAAAAUUGGUAAACCGACAAUUUCGAUAUUAGUUGGUUUUUAUCAACUUGUAAUGAUUCAUUUGCUUGAAGUUUUAACCUUGUUUGAAGUUUAUUUUGACGAAUAGACUCGUGAUGUGAUA